UACGUAGGGAGCAAGCGUUGUCCGGAAUCAUUGGGCGUAAAGCGCGCGUAGGUGGCCUCGUAAGUCCGCUGUGAAAGUCAAAGGCUCAACCUUUGAAAGCCGGUGGAUACUGUGAGGCUAGAGUACGGAAGGGGCGAGUGGAAUUCCUGGUGUAGCGGUGGAAUGCGCAGAUAUCAGGAGGAACACCAAUAGCGAAGGCAGCUCGCUGGGACGUUACUGACACUGAGGCGCGAAAGCGUGGGGAGCGAACAGG
rnacentral:rRNA from 1 species